rnacentral:rRNA from 1 species
UUAAGCGACUAAGCGUACACGGUGGAUGCCCUGGCAGUCAGAGGCGAUGAAGGACGUGCUAAUCUGCGAUAAGCGCCGGUAAGGUGAUAUGAACCGUUAUAACCGGCGAUUUCCGAAUGGGGAAACCCAGUGUGACUCGUCACACUAUCAUUAACUGAAUCCAUAGGUUAAUGAGGCGAACCGGGGGAACUGAAACAUCUAAGUACCCCGAGGAAAAGAAAUCAACCGAGAUUCCCCCAGUAGCGGCGAGCGAACGGGGAGGAGCCCAGAGCCUGAAUCAGCAUGUGUGUUAGUGGAAGCGUCUGGAAAGGCGCGCGAUACAGGGUGACAGCCCCGUACACAAAAGCGCAUAUGCUGUGAGCUCGAUGAGUAGGGCGGGACACGUGGUAUCCUGUCUGAAUAUGGGGGGACCAUCCUCCAAGGCUAAAUACUCCUGACUGACCGAUAGUGAACCAGUACCGUGAGGGAAAGGCGAAAAGAACCCCGGCGAGGGGAGUGAAAAAGAACCUGAAACCGUGUACGUACAAGCAGUGGGAGCCCCACCACUAAGCCAGUGGUGAACUCCACAUACGCAUCCUUUGCUGAGGAUACGGUUAACGGAGCGAAAGCGACGUUCAACCUCAAAAGAAGCAGAGGGGGCUUAGUGGUGGGGUGACUGCGUACCUUUUGUAUAAUGGGUCAGCGACUUAUAUUCUGUAGCAAGGUUAACCGUAUAGGGGAGCCGGAGGGAAACCGAGUCUUAACCGGGCGUUAAGUUGCAGGGUAUAGACCCGAAACCCGGUGAUCUAGCCAUGGGCAGGUUGAAGGUUGGGUAACACUAACUGGAGGACCGAACCGACUAAUGUUGAAAAAUUAGCGGAUGACCUGUGGCUGGGGGUGAAAGGCCAAUCAAACCGGGAGAUAGCUGGUUCUCCCCGAAAGCUAUUUAGGUAGCGCCUCGUGAAUUCAUCUCCGGGGGUAGAGCACUGUUUCGGCUAGGGGGCCAUCCCGGCUUACCAACCCGAUGCAAACUGCGAAUACCGGAGAAUGUUAUCACGGGAGACACACGGCGGGUGCUAACGUCCGUCGUGAAGAGGGAAACAACCCAGACCGCCAGCUAAGGUCCCAAAGUCAUGGUUAAGUGGGAAACGAUGUGGGAAGGCCCAGACAGCCAGGAUGUUGGCUUAGAAGCAGCCAUCAUUUAAAGAAAGCGUAAUAGCUCACUGGUCGAGUCGGCCUGCGCGGAAGAUGUAACGGGGCUAAACCAUGCACCGAAGCUGCGGCAGCGACACUCAGGUGUUGUUGGGUAGGGGAGCGUUCUGUAAGCCUGCGAAGGUGGCCUGUGAGGGUUGCUGGAGGUAUCAGAAGUGCGAAUGCUGACAUAAGUAACGAUAAAGCGGGUGAAAAGCCCGCUCGCCGGAAGACCAAGGGUUCCUGUCCAACGUUAAUCGGGGCAGGGUGAGUCGACCCCUAAGGCGAGGCCGAAAGGCGUAGUCGAUGGGAAACGGGUUAAUAUUCCCGUACUUGGUGUUACUGCGAAGGGGGGACGGAGAAGGCUAUGUUGGCCGGGCGACGGUUGUCCCGGUUUAAGCGUGUAGGUGUGUGUUCCAGGUAAAUCCGGUUCACUUUAACACUGAGGCGUGAUGACGAGGCACUACGGUGCUGAAGCAACAAAUGCCCUGCUUCCAGGAAAAGCCUCUAAGCAUCAGGUAACAUCAAAUCGUACCCCAAACCGACACAGGUGGUCAGGUAGAGAAUACCAAGGCGCUUGAGAGAACUCGGGUGAAGGAACUAGGCAAAAUGGUGCCGUAACUUCGGGAGAAGGCACGCUGACAUGUAGGUGAAGUGAUUUACUCAUGGAGCUGAAGUCAGUCGAAGAUACCAGCUGGCUGCAACUGUUUAUUAAAAACACAGCACUGUGCAAACACGAAAGUGGACGUAUACGGUGUGACGCCUGCCCGGUGCCGGAAGGUUAAUUGAUGGGGUCAGCGCAAGCGAAGCUCCUGAUCGAAGCCCCGGUAAACGGCGGCCGUAACUAUAACGGUCCUAAGGUAGCGAAAUUCCUUGUCGGGUAAGUUCCGACCUGCACGAAUGGCGUAAUGAUGGCCAGGCUGUCUCCACCCGAGACUCAGUGAAAUUGAACUCGCUGUGAAGAUGCAGUGUACCCGCGGCAAGACGGAAAGACCCCGUGAACCUUUACUAUAGCUUGACACUGAACAUUGAGCCUUGAUGUGUAGGAUAGGUGGGAGGCUUUGAAGUGUGGACGCCAGUCUGCAUGGAGCCGACCUUGAAAUACCACCCUUUAAUGUUUGAUGUUCUAACGUGGACCCGUGAUCCGGGUUGCGGACAGUGUCUGGUGGGUAGUUUGACUGGGGCGGUCUCCUCCUAAAGAGUAACGGAGGAGCACGAAGGUUGGCUAAUCCUGGUCGGACAUCAGGAGGUUAGUGCAAUGGCAUAAGCCAGCUUGACUGCGAGCGUGACGGCGCGAGCAGGUGCGAAAGCAGGUCAUAGUGAUCCGGUGGUUCUGAAUGGAAGGGCCAUCGCUCAACGGAUAAAAGGUACUCCGGGGAUAACAGGCUGAUACCGCCCAAGAGUUCAUAUCGACGGCGGUGUUUGGCACCUCGAUGUCGGCUCAUCACAUCCUGGGGCUGAAGUAGGUCCCAAGGGUAUGGCUGUUCGCCAUUUAAAGUGGUACGCGAGCUGGGUUUAGAACGUCGUGAGACAGUUCGGUCCCUAUCUGCCGUGGGCGCUGGAGAACUGAGGGGGGCUGCUCCUAGUACGAGAGGACCGGAGUGGACGCAUCACUGGUGUUCGGGUUGUCAUGCCAAUGGCACUGCCCGGUAGCUAAAUGCGGAAGAGAUAAGUGCUGAAAGCAUCUAAGCACGAAACUUGCCCCGAGAUGAGUUCUCCCUGAGACUUAGAGUCUCCUGAAGGAACGUUGAAGACGACGACGUUGAUAGGCCGGGUGUGUAAGCGCAGCGAUGCGUUGAGCUAACCGGUACUAAUGAACCGUGAGGCUUAACCUU